AUCCAGCCAUGCCGCGUGUGUGAAGAAGGCUUUCGGGUUGUAAAGCACUUUCAGUGGGGAAGAAAUCCUCGGGGCCAAUACCCUCGAGGGAGGACAUCACCCACAGAAGAAGCACCGGCUAACUCCGUGCCAGCAGCCGCGGUAAUACGGAGGGUGCGAGCGUUAAUCGGAAUUACUGGGCGUAAAGCGCGCGUAGGCGGCGUGAUAAGCCGGUUGUGAAAGCCCCGGGCUCAACCUGGGAACGGCAUCCGGAACUGUCAGGCUAGAGUGCAGGAGAGGAAGGUAGAAUUCCCGGUGUAGCGGUGAAAUGCGUAGAGAUCGGGAGGAAUACCAGUGGCGAAGGCGGCCUUCUGGACUGACACUGACGCUGAGGUGCGAAAGCGUGGGUAGCAAACAGGAUUAGAUACCCUGGUAGUCCACGCCGUAAACGAUGUCGACUAGCCGUUGGGGUCCUUGUGACCUUUGUGGCGCAGUUAACGCGAUAAGUCGACCGCCUGGGGAGUACGGCCGCAAGGUUAAAACUCAAAUGAAUUGACGGGGGCCCGCACAAGCGGUGGAGCAUGUGGUUUAAUUCGAUGCAACGCGAAGAACCUUACCUACUCUUGACAUCGUGCGAACUUUCCAGAGAUGGAUUGGUGCCUUCGGGAACGCACAGACAGGUGCUGCAUGGCCGUCGUCAGCUCGUGUUGUGAAAUGUUGGGUUAAGUCCCGUAACGAGCGCAACCCUUGU
rnacentral:rRNA from 1 species